GACGAACGCUGGCGGCGUGCUUAACACAUGCAAGUCGAACGGAAAGGCCCUGCUUUUGUGGGGUGCUCGAGUGGCGAACGGGCGAGUAACACGUGAGUAACCUGCCCUUGACUUUGGGAUAACUUCAGGAAACUGGGGCUAAUGCCGGAUAGGAGCUCCUGCUGCAUGGUGGGGGUUGGAAAGUUUCGGCGGUUGGGGAUGGACUCGCGGCUUAUCAGCUUGUUGGUGGGGUAGUGGCUUACCAAGGCUUUGACGGGUAGCCGGCCUGAGAGGGUGACCGGCCACAUUGGGACUGAGAUACGGCCCAGACUCCUACGGGAGGCAGCAGUGGGGAAUAUUGCACAAUGGGCGGAAGCCUGAUGCAGCAACGCCGCGUGCGGGAUGACGGCCUUCGGGUUGUAAACCGCUUUCGCCUGUGACGAAGCGUGAGUGACGGUAAUGGGUAAAGAAGCACCGGCUAACUACGUG
rnacentral:rRNA from 1 species